rnacentral:rRNA from 1 species
GUCUGAUGGAGCAACGCCGCGUGAGUGAAGGAAGGGUUUCGGCUCGUAAAACUCUGUUGUUAAAGAAGAACAUAUCUGAGAGUAACUGUUCAGGUAUUGACGGUACUUUAACCAGAAAGCCACGGCUAACUACGUGCCAGCAGCCGCGGUAAUACGUAGGUGGCAAGCGUUGUCCGGAUUUAUUGGGCGUAAAGCGAGCGCAGGCGGUUUUUUAAGUCUGAUGUGAAAGCCUUCGGCUCAACCGAAGAAGUGCAUCGGAAACUGGGAAACUUGAGUGCAGAAGAGGACAGUGGAACUCCAUGUGUAGCGGUGAAAUGCGUAGAUAUAUGGAAGAACACCAGUGGCGAAGGCGGCUGUCUGGUCUGUAACUGACGCUGAGGCUCGAAAGUAUGGGUAGCAAACAGGAUUAGAUACCCUGGUAG